rfam:Homo sapiens chromosome 19, GRCh38 reference primary assembly.
GCUGGGCGUGGUGGUGUGUGCCUGUAGUCCCAACUACUCGGGAGGUUGAGGUGGGAGGAUUACUUGAGCCCAGAAAGUCAAGGCUGCAGUGAGAUAUGAUUGCCUCACUGCACUCUAGCCUGGGCAACAGAGCAAAACCCUGUCUCUU